UUUAAAAAUAAAAAAAAAUAAACAGACCACAGAUCCACAAACAACAAUAAUAACAUCUUAAAACAAUAAAAUUUAAUCCGCAAGAAAAGAAAACCAAUCAAAAUAUUUUCCCACAAAAUAUUCUCAGCUGCCAAACAGAGCGAUAAAGAACUUGAUCGCACCCCAAAAAGGUUUUCAUAAUUUGUAUUUAUUAUUAUUCAGUAAUAAAUAAUAUUCGUUUCUGGAGGAAAAGGCAGCAGCGUGAUGAGGACCCAUUCACCCAUCACUGCUCAUCCACAACCUCUGCAAUCCAACUCACCAAGGACCACGCGCGCACACGUGCCACCUCUUCCGUCCCAGACUCCCACACAUGUCUCUCCGUACCUCCCUCCCCGCCAAAACUUUCCUGUAAUUACCGGCCCAAGUCACAGGCCAGAAGCAGCAGAUCAAAACUCAGCGACUGUGACGUGAGCGAAAUGGAGGAAGCUCGGAAGCUUCGCUCGGAGUUCCUCCAAGUUCUGCGGAGCAGACGAUCGGGCGAAGUUCCAAUGUUGGUCGAGCCGGCCAAACCGGUGGCGAAUCCGUUGUUUCAGGAGGCUAAUCCACCAAGCUUCAGUGAGGUUCGAAUCUGGUUCCCAUUUGGAAAUGCUUUGUACCAGUUCGGUACUGCUUAAUUUUUUUAAAGGCCUCAAAAUUGUAUUUGGCAACAAAGCCAAAGACUGCUUAUUUCCUAAGUCACGGUCAGAAAUAGCUGAAAAGUGGAAGCAGCUACUUGCUGCUUUCAAAAAGCGGCUUUUUUUCCAUCUAAAACACGGUGGACAGUGUGUUUAAUGAAAGUUUUUAAAUGCCCAUCUUCCUUGCUCUUGUUGGCAGCUCCAGUUUUCGCAAUUCACUGAGAAGCAGCUACAUCUACCAAAUUCUGCAGCCAUCAAUUAAAAAUAUAAGACAACAAAUCAUCUGGAACUCUUCUCACAAUUUUGAUAGAGAAUUGACAGAAAGGAUACGAACCUGAAACUUCAUUCCCAGUUGAAGCCUCCAUCUCCAGCCACAUCAAAACUCCUGUGUUAUUCGAUUCUUUUCCUUUGCUUCGAUCGCAGGAGAGAAGGAUUCGAGGAAGACGCUAUUUUUUCUGGGAAUAUUGGAAGGGCUAGGUUUUUGGGAGGUGCAGGUGGGAUGAUGUCGAUAUCAUCGAGGAAGACGCUAUUUUUUCUGGGCAAAUGAAGACGGAGAAAAUGGAUAUUGAUGAUAAAAAGCCCGAAGAAAACGAGGGGAGAGGAGAAUGAGAGUCCGAGAAAGUACUUUGACAGAAAAGGUUUACCAAACACUAACUGGUCUGGAAGUUCCCAAAUCAAAAGCUUGCAAGGCUUAUGCAGAUGCGCACGCCGUAGAUAACUUGAAGGUAUGGAUUAGCACUGUUAUACCGUACAAAUAAUUUUUACCAUCCUCAACUGCAUUUAGAGCCUCUGAUUCAUCUGUUCUUCUGUUCAAACCUUCCUUCAUACUCAUGGCCGUCGACCGUUGUCAUGUCUGUUCAUCCAAACACAAAUAAUAUCGUAAUGCAGUCAAUAGCACAGCCGGGAAUCAGGCACCGAAUGACCCCGCUCAUGGUAACCGAGGCCAGUGACUGGUUCGACCAGUUUCUGAAGCAGUGAGGCCGUGGUUGCAAUCGUGCGUUCGUCGUUUCUUACUAAUCUACUUACCCAGUGUUCAUCUGUAACUCAGAGCCAAUCGGUUUUGGGCUUAAGCAAUAUACUCUCUGAUGAUAUAUCGUCAAGGCUGAAAUAAUUCAUCGUCGUUUCGAAAAAAUGUUCUGUUAGUACGGAAUAUUAUUACAACAGCAUUCUUAAACGACUAGUUUUCGGUUUCGUCGAUCACAAAUUCACAAUCAAAUCAUGAUGCAUAAAAACCCCCCAAGCUAACAUGUGCCGAGGUUUUACAUUAUGUGCAACUUCGUGCAUAAAA